AACACGUGGGAAAUCUGCCCUGCACUCUGGGACAAGCCUUGGAAACGAGGUCUAAUACCGGAUAUGACCUUCCUCCGCAUGGGGGUUGGUGGAAAGCUCCGGCGGUGCAGGAUGAUCCCGCGGCCUAUCAGCUUGUUGGUGGGGUAAUGGCCUACCAAGGCGACGACGGGUAGCCGGCCUGAGAGGGCGACCGGCCACACUGGGACUGAGACACGGCCCAGACUCCUACGGGAGGCAGCAGUGGGGAAUAUUGCACAAUGGGCGAAAGCCUGAUGCAGCGACGCCGCGUGAGGGAUGACGGCCUUCGGGUUGUAAACCUCUUUCAGCAGGGAAGAAGCGCAAGUGACGGUACCUGCAGAAGAAGCACCGGCUAACUACGUGCCAGCAGCCGCGGUAAUACGUAGGGUGCGAGCGUUGUCCGGAAUUAUUGGGCGUAAAGAGCUCGUAGGCGGCCUGUCGCGUCGGAUGUGAAAGCCCGGGGCUUAACCCCGGGUCUGCAUUCGAUACGGGCAGGCUAGAGUGUGGUAGGGGAGAUCGGAAUUCCUGGUGUAGCGGUGAAAUGCGCAGAUAUCAGGAGGAACACCGGUGGCGAAGGCGGAUCUCUGGGCCAUUACUGACGCUGAGGAGCGAAAGCGUGGGGAGCGAACAGGAUUAGAUACCCUGGUAGUCCACGCCGUAAACGUUGGGAACUAGGU
rnacentral:rRNA from 1 species